CUUCAGCGAGCCCAGCCACACCGGCGCGCCCCGGUCCUGGCCGUACGUGGCGAGCACCGCACGGGCCUC
rnacentral:antisense_RNA from 1 species